AGAGUUUGAUCAUGGCUCAGAACGAACGCUGGCGGCGUGCUUAACACAUGCAAGUCGAGUGCGCGGUUGUAGCAAUACAACUGGCGCACGGCGCACGGGUGCGUAACACGUGGGCAAUCUGCCCUCCGAUGGGGAAUAACUCCGGGAAACCGAAGCUAAUUCCGCAUAAUAUUCCCUGGACUCCGGUUCGGGGAUUCAAAGCAGCAAUGCGUCGGAGGAGGAGCCCGCGCCCGAUUAGCUAGUUGGUGAGGUAACGGCUCACCAAGGCUAUGAUCGGUAGCUGGUCUGAGAGGAUGGCCAGCCACACUGGAACUGAGACACGGUCCAGACUCCUACGGGAGGCAGCAGUGGGGAAUCUUGCGCAAUGGGCGAAAGCCUGACGCAGCGACGCCGCGUGGGGGAUGAAGCUUCUCGGAGUGUAAACCCCUUUCGACCGGGACGAAUGCCCGCAAGGGAGUGACGGUACCGGUAGAAGAAGCCCCGGCUAACUACGUGCCAGCAGCCGCGGUAAGACGUAGGGGGCCAGCGUUGUUCGGAAUUACUGGGUGUAAAGGGUUCGUAGGCGGUGUGGCAAGUCGGGAGUGAAAUUUCUGGGCUUAACUCAGAACCUGCUUCCGAAACUGCUGUGCUGGAGUGUGGGAGAGGCGCGUGGAAUUGCAGGUGUAGCGGUGAAAUGCGUAGAUAUCUGCAGGAACACCCGUGGCGAAAGCGGCGCGCUGGACCACUACUGACGCUGAGGAACGAAAGCUAGGGGAGCAAACAGGAUUAGAUACCCUAGUAGUCC
rnacentral:rRNA from 1 species